GAAACAAGAAGGCUUCCUGUUAGGUGAUGUCAGAUUUUUCUUAGAAGCACAUAUACAACAUGAUACUAUGAAUGAUAUUCAUGUUAAACGCCAUUGAUAUGAAUAAGCGUCUAUACUAAAUGAUAAUUUUAUAAAUUUUCCAAAUUUUAAAGCACUGUCAACAAUCGAACAUUUCAAAUUGUAUCGAUACAAUAAUAAACACAUUUCCUAACCUGUACAAGAUAUGGAAACGAUGAAUCAAGUUGAAACGAGGUCAAGGAUCGCAUUUUUAUCGCACACGUUUAAAUGUAAUAGUUUGAAAUGUAUCAUUUAAAAUCAACAUGCACUUAUACGGUGGAACAAGUAGUUUAAUAUUAAAAUUCAUGUCACAUACCUGAAAUUCUUCGAACUGUUUACACAUGAAAUCCAGAUUACGUGUGCUUCGUUAAAAAGAGACACGAUUGUGUUAAAUUCAUGCCUCCGUCAAUACAUGAAUUGUUAGAAGAUUACGCAGCAUAGAUCCGGCUAUCGUUUGACGGAAACUUUAUAAAUGCACACUGCUAUUACUUUUUAAAUAUUAACACGUUCGAUUUUGGAAAGUGCGGCAAAUGACAGAUCAAUUAUUCAGAGGACUAUCUUUUCAAUUAAAAACGAUAUUAAACACUAUAUAUCGAUGCACUGUUAUACGAAUUCAACGAUACGAUAUCUGAUACGGCGGAUAAAUGUCGAAGAUAUUGAUAAGAAAAUCGAGUAACGACUGAUAGCGUUGUUAAUAUACAAAUCAAAAUUUCGUACCAAAUACGAAAUAAAUACGUGCUUCCUGUCCGCGCGUGCAACAGAACACAGUGAAACACUUGGAAUAUAGCAAUAGAAGUACAUUCAGUAUCAAACCGCUAUUUCGAGCGCUCUUCCUAUGGCGUAGUCGAUUUAUGAAACUUGUUGGCGCGUAAACUUGCUUUCAAACUGACAUGUAUUUUAACAUUUUGUAUUAGUACUCCUAUCAUUUGUUGAACACCAUUGGUUUUAUUAUUUUGUUUUACUUCCUCUCUCAAGUAGUUUCAUUAUCAGCUCAUUAUAUUUUUGUAUUACUUAUCUUGUUCCGGCAUGACACUCCUAAUCUUUCAUGCACUUUCCAAGUUCUUUUAAAAAAUUUUCGUCAAAUUUGCUACGAACAAUUUUAAAAUGCCCAAACAAUUAAAAAUAGACUAUUAAAUAAAUAAUUAAACUGCUUUCAAAUAGACUAUUCAAAAAUAAAAAAGGCAAAUCAUGUGCACGUAUAUAUUUCAAUUAAAAACAUGGAUCAUAUUUAUGUACAGAU